GAUGAACGCUAGCUACAGGCUUAACACAUGCAAGUCGAGGGGCAUCAGGAAGAAAGCUUGCUUUCUUUGCUGGCGACCGGCGCACGGGUGAGUAACACGUAUCCAACCUGCCCUUUACUCGGGGAUAGCCUUUCGAAAGAAAGAUUAAUACCCGAUGGUAUAAUUAUUCCGCAUGGUUUGAUUAUUAAAGGAUUCCGGUAAAGGAUGGGGAUGCGUUCCAUUAGGUUGUUGGUGAGGUAACGGCUCACCAAGCCUUCGAUGGAUAGGGGUUCUGAGAGGAAGGUCCCCCACAUUGGAACUGAGACACGGUCCAAACUCCUACGGGAGGCAGCAGUGAGGAAUAUUGGUCAAUGGGCGCGAGCCUGAACCAGCCAAGUAGCGUGAAGGAUGACUGCCCUAUGGGUUGUAAACUUCUUUUAUAUUAGAAUAAAGUGCAGUAUGUAUACUGUUUUGUAUGUAUAAUAUGAAUAAGGAUCGGCUAACUCCGUGCCAGCAGCCGCGGUAAUACGGAGGAUCCGAGCGUUAUCCGGAUUUAUUGGGUUUAAAGGGAGCGUAGGUGGACUGGUAAGUCAGUUGUGAAAGUUUGCGGCUCAACCGUAAAAUUGCAGUUGAUACUGUCAGCCUUGAG
rnacentral:rRNA from 1 species